UGAGGAAUAUUGGUCAAUGGGCGGGAGCCUGAACCAGCCAAGUCGCGGGAAGGAAGAAGGAUCUAUGGUUCGUAAACUUCUUUUGCAGGGGAAUAAAGUGCAGGACGUGUCCUGUUUUGUAUGUACCCUGAGAAUAAGGAUCGGCUAACUCCGUGCCAGCAGCCGCGGUAAUACGGAGGAUCCGAGCGUUAUCCGGAUUUAUUGGGUUUAAAGGGUGCGUAGGUGGUUUGAUAAGUCAGCGGUGAAAGUUUGCAGCUUAACUGUAAAAAUGCCGUUGAAACUGUCGGACUUGAGUGUAAAUGAGGUAGGCGGAAUGCGUGGUGUAGCGGUGAAAUGCAUAGAUAUCACGCAGAACUCCGAUUGCGAAGGCAGCUUACUAAGCUACAACUGACACUGAAGCACGAAAGCGUGGGGAUCAAACA
rnacentral:rRNA from 1 species